rnacentral:rRNA from 1 species
AAUAUUGCGCAAUGGAGGGAACUCUGACGCAGCGACGCCGCGUGAGCGAUGAAGGUCUUCGGAUCUUAAAGCCUUGUCCUUGGGGAAGAAGGGAGCCGUAAGGCUUCUUGACGGUACCCACGGAGGAAGCCCCGGCUACCUCCGUCCCACGAGCCGCGGUAAUACGUAGGGGGCAAGCGUUUUCCGGAAUUAUUGGGCGUAAAGGGUGCGUAGGCGGACCUUUAAGUCAGAUGUGAAAGCCCACGGCUUAACCGUGGGACUGCAUUUGAAACUGGAGGGCUUGAGUGUCGGAGAGGGCAGUGGAAUUCCCAGUGUAGCGGUGGAAUGCGUAGAUAUUGGGAGGAACACCAGUGGCGAAGGCGACUGCCUGGACGAUAACUGACGCUGAGGCACGAAAGCUAGGGGAGCAAAC